GUCGUCGGCAAGAUCUACACCCUCUAUCAGAUCAAUCCCGACAAAUAAUCAUAUCAAUCGAUCUGUAACGGCCUCGAUAGAAAUUCCCCUCAAGAAAUUUCAAGAUUCAUCAAGUCGAUCUCAAGUUAUGAUCUCAUUUAUUCUCCGGCCAUCAUCAGAGCUGAAUCGAUCUCCUGAUCUUCGACGGCUUCGUCAUUCCUCAACUAUUCUCAUCUAUUUUUCAGGUAAACCAUUAUCUAUUUUGGGGUUUUUCUAAAUCAUCUCUUGUUUCCAAUUUCAUGUGUUCG
rnacentral:misc_RNA from 1 species